GCAUUCCGUCCGCAUUCCGUCGCGGCGAAGCGUGUGCUUCCGGUUGCUGCUCGCGCAAGAAUGACAAAAUUUGGGGCGAAAUCUCUAGGUUGUCGGCGGGGAAAAUUCGUUAUAUCGAGGGGGUCUCCCGUUGCCACUUCGUUACGUAGAGGUCUCAAAUACAUGUGCUUCUAUGGAGUAACGGCGGGGAAUAGAAAAACUUCGUUAUAUCCAGGAAUUCGUUAUAUCGAGGUUCGUUAUAAGCAGGUUUAACUGUAACACCUAAGCAAUAAGCUGUAAUAGACUAAAGUUCUUCUUUUUGCUGUAUUUUUUGUCUAAUGAGAGAUUGUCGUGGCAAAGCAGAAUUCGCUCAGUCUAGUUCCUUCUAUGUGUGGUGUGUUUACAUAACUGCGUCACCAUUGCGUAUAUUGAUGCAGUUGCAGCAGUGGUCUGCAACAGGAGACAUAGGCGUUCAGAAGGUGGCAGUUUGUCAAAUAGAUGUGUUUUCUUCUGCAUAGCCAAAUGAUAUAUGCUGCUCUUUGCUUGUACACAUAGCCAUUUACCAGUACAAACUAUAAGAGAACACUUAUAGUAGCAAACCCAUCUGUUGUGUGUUCUUUGCAAUAUAUUUUUUUUCUUUUUCCCAUUGGCUGCAUGGUAUGACACAAAAGGCAGUAGCUGCCACUGUUUGUUUUAUACUACCGGUUUAGUGUGUGAAAAGCAAAAUGGUAUGUGCAGUUUUAAUGGUUUCUUUUUAAUGUACAUUUUACAGCUAUUUAAUCCAGAACGAAAUAAAGAAAAAAAGUGA